UGGCUACAGAACGAACGCUGGCGGCAUGCCUAACACAUGCAAGUCGAACGAGACCUUCGGGUCUAGUGGCGCACGGGUGCGUAACGCGUGGGAACCUGCCUUUAGGUUCGGAAUAACUCAGAGAAAUUUGAGCUAAUACCGGAUAAUGUCUUCGGACCAAAGAUUUAUCGCCUUUAGAUGGGCCCGCGUUGGAUUAGCUAGUUGGUGGGGUAAAGGCCUACCAAGGCGACGAUCCAUAGCUGGUCUGAGAGGAUGAUCAGCCACACUGGGACUGAGACACGGCCCAGACUCCUACGGGAGGCAGCAGUGGGGAAUAUUGGACAAUGGGCGAAAGCCUGAUCCAGCAAUGCCGCGUGAGUGAUGAAGGCCUUAGGGUUGUAAAGCUCUUUUACCCGAGAUGAUAAUGACAGUAUCGGGAGAAUAAGCUCCGGCUAACUCCGUG
rnacentral:rRNA from 1 species